rnacentral:rRNA from 1 species
CCUACGGGAGGCUGCAGUGGGGAAUAUUGGACAAUGGGCGAAAGCCUGAUCCAGCCAUGCCGCGUGUGUGAAGAAGGCCUUCGGGUUGUAAAGCACUUUCAGUGGGGAAGAAAGCCUUGGGGCUAAUACCCUCGAGGAAGGACAUCACCCACAGAAGAAGCACCGGCUAACUCCGUGCCAGCAGCCGCGGUAAUACGGAGGGUGCGAGCGUUAAUCGGAAUUACUGGGCGUAAAGCGCGCGUAGGCGGUCUGAUAAGCCGGUUGUGAAAGCCCCGGGCUCAACCUGGGAACGGCAUCCGGAACUGUCAGGCUAGAGUGCAGGAGAGGAAGGUAGAAUUCCUGGUGUAGCGGUGAAAGGCGUAGAGAUCGGGAGGAAUACCAGUGGCGAAGGCGGCCUUCGGGACUGACACGGACGCUGAGGUGCGAAAGCGUGGGUAGCAAACAGGAUUAGAUACCUGGUAGUC